rnacentral:rRNA from 1 species
CCUACGGGUGGCAGCAGUCGAGAAUCAUUCACAAUGGGGGAAACCCUGAUGGUGCGACGCCGCGUGGGGGAAUGAAGGUCUUCGGAUUGUAAACCCCUGUCAUGUGGGAGCAAAUUAAAAAGAUAGUACCACAAGAGGAAGAGACGGCUAACUCUGUGCCAGCAGCCGCGGUAAUACAGAGGUCUCAAGCGUUGUUCGGAAACACUGGGCGUAAAGUGUGCGUAGGCUGUUUCGUAAGUCGUGUGUGAAAGGCGCGGGCUCAACCCGCGGUCGGCACAUGAUACUGCGAGACUAGAGUAAUGGAGGGGUAACCGGAAUUCUCGGUGUAGCAGUGAAAUGCGUAGAUAUCGAGAGGAACACUCGUGGCGAAGGCGGGUUCCUGGACAUUAACUGACGCUGAGGCACGAAGGCCAGGGGAGCGAAAGGGAUUAGAUACCCCUGUAGUC